CAGUCGCCACGGUAAGACAGAGGAUGCAAGCGUUAUCCGGAAUGAUUGGGCGUAAAGCGCGCGCAGGCGGAUCGGUCAGUCUGCCUUAAAAGUUCGGGGCUUAACCCCGUGAUGGGAUGGAAACUGCCAAUCUAGAGUAUCGGAGAGGAAAGUGGAAUUCCUAGUGUAGCGGUGAAAUGCGUAGAUAUUAGGAAGAACACCAGUGGCGAAGGCGACUUUCUGGACGAAAACUGACGCUGAGGCGCGAAAGCCAGGGGAGCGAACGGGAUUAGAUACCCGAGUAGUCCCUGUCUCUUAUACA
rnacentral:rRNA from 1 species